rnacentral:ncRNA from 1 species
CCUAUAGGGAUAGCGCCAGGCCUAGGAAUAGGUGACGAGGACUGAACUUAUCGAAUAAUCGGCGGAUGGUUCAGAGGCUGCAUGGUCUAUAGGCAGGCCCUCAAAUACACAAGGGGCAGGCCAGAUGCUGG